rnacentral:lncRNA from 1 species
CUGGUGUUCAGUUGUCUUUCCAGAAGGAUGCAAAUCUCCCAUAGAUUCUGUCUCCCUCAGCAAGUGUCUUACACGUCCCAGUGUGUCUGGACUGGCACUAGGGGACUACACAGAGGCAGAUGAACCCUUCCCAUAAUGCUUGAUCAGGUGGAGCUAAAGCACUUGUCUGCAGUACCUUGGCUUGUGGGAUGGAGGAAAGCAAUCUAAGGAAAAAAAAGAGAAUCAAGAGGUUGCUGGUGGCCAGUGGACCAGCUGCACACCAAUGUCAACUAGCACCUGGGAUAAGAUUAUGGCUACCUGGAAGAUAACAUACUAGAUCCUACAAUGACUUCCUUAUUGGACAACCUCAUUUCCACAGUGGAUCUGCAUAAAGAGUCUUUCCCCACAUCUUUGAAUUAAGCAGUAAUAAAA